rnacentral:lncRNA from 1 species
GCUGCCUUGACAUGAAUUGCAGAUUCUCCUUUCUCCUUUUGAGAGGAGUUUAGGGGGAUGAAAGCAGAUGCAGACAAACGCAGAUGGAGCCCAGAAGCCAAAUAGCAUGAGGCUCAGCACUGCAGAGAGGAUUUGGCAUCUUCACAGUGUUUUAAGGAAGAAAGAACAUCAGACUCCUGUUUUGGAAUGACUUUCUAUCAGCAG